ACCUUUGACAUGGCAGGAAUCCCGAAGAGAUUGGGAGUGCUCGAAAGAGAACCUGCACACAGGUGCUGCAUGGCUGUCGUCAGCUCGUGUCGUGAGAUGUUGGGUUAAGUCCCGCAACGAGCGCAACCCUUGCCAUUAGUUGCUACGAAAGGGCACUCUAAUGGGACUGCCGGUGACAAACCGGAGGAAGGUGGGGAUGACGUCAAGUCCUCAUGGCCCUUAUAGGUGGGGCUACACACGUCAUACAAUGGCCGGUACAGAGGGUAGCCAACCCGCGAGGGGGAGCCAAUCCCACAAAGCCGGUCGUAGUCCGGAUCGCAGUCUGCAACUCGACUGCGUGAAGUCGGAAUCGCUAGUAAUCGCGGAUCAGCAUGUCGCGGUGAAUACGUUCCCGGGUCUU
rnacentral:rRNA from 1 species